AUGGAUGAGACACGGGGUUCACAACCACCACUGGUCCCUUCUGUUACCAACUCUCGGUUGCCAACACCUAAAUCUAAGACAAAAAUGCCUAAGUCUAAUAAGCCCUCGGAAUCGGCAUCUCAAUCGAUUCCAACACUGAAAUCCAGUCCGAAACCAGUCGGUACCAAACCAAAUAGUCUUCCAUCGACGCUCAGCCACCAGUACAACACCCUCCCGUGCAGGAUCAACCACCUAUCGAUCUUGAUACUGACCAUGAAUCCAUUCAACAACCUUGAAUUACUUGCGAUUUUCAAAGCAUUCCGCGCCUUCGAACCACUCAUUGCUGGCACCGCGGUGCAAGUGACCACAGACAAUACGACAGCUCUAUUACAUCAACAAACAGGGAGGUACACUCUACCCCUUCUGUAUCUUGCUGUCCAAUUUUGGGGACUGGUGCCUAAUUCACCAUAUCUUCCCCAUAGCGCUUCACAUUGCCACACAAUGCAGACUGAACUUUCAGAUGCACGAGUGGUCCGACAACACUAUUUUUUCCAGCUGUACACCAAAUGGGGUCGUCCAGACAUAGACGUUUUCACCACAGCAAUCAAUGCUAAAUGCAUCCAGUACUUCUCCAGGGCAGGCCUGGCCCGAGGCUCCCUCGGCAAUGCUGUAAUGGCAAACUGGAAUACGCAUUUCCUUUACCUCUUUCCACCGAUCCUACUUUUCCUGCGGACCAUUGUCAAAUUGCGACAGAACCGUUCAACGAUGCUCAGGUUGAUAGCCUCCCAAUCCAUCCAUCUAUUGCUGCUCCCACACCUUCUCACCCAGCAUCAGGGGCAAACUCUAGCACUGUUUUCUUUGUGCAAGCUCACAAGAGGAGAGGUUCCAGAUCACAUUGAGGCUCUUCUUGUGAGCAAGAAUGCUGGGUUCUUGCUUACAUGGAGGACGGAAACAGGGCCAGGAAACUCUCCUCUUCAGACUUAUUGGUCAUGUGAAGAAAGCAGCAACAGAGUGGGGUGGGGUAAGGUGAUCCCCACUAAAUUUCAUGAAGAAACUGGAUUCUAUAAUGCCUGA
rnacentral:lncRNA from 1 species